rnacentral:lncRNA from 1 species
AUAUUAGCUUUUGACAACAGCUUCAAGCCGGUAAAUCCAAGAUGACCAAAGCGCAGGUGCCAUAGCCACGAGCUAUCAUCCAGUGUGGACUUCAAACAUUUGGCUGUUUGAGUCUGGAUGUCAAGUGCGAACAACCUGUUUUUCGCCAUGUUUACUUUGGCGAUCAUGUCUCCACUUCAAUUUCUGAUGGCAAGCGAGUAGUCCUUCAUGUGGAUGUCAUAGCCUCUCUCCAGUAGUUGUCC